UAGGGAAUCUUCCGCAAUGGGCGAAAGCUUGACGGAGCAACGCCGCGUGAGUGAUGAAGGUCUUCGGAUCGUAAAACUCUGUUAUUAGGGAAGAACAAAUGUGUAAGUAACUAUGCACGUCUUGACGGUACCUAAUCAGAAAGCCACGGCUAACUACGUGCCAGCAGCCGCGGUAAUACGUAGGUGGCAAGCGUUAUCCGGAAUUAUUGGGCGUAAAGCGCGCGUAGGCGGUUUUUUAAGUCUGAUGUGAAAGCCCACGGCUCAACCAUGGAGGGUCAUUGGAAACUGGAAAACUUGAGUGCAGAAGAAGAAAGUGGAAUUCCAUGUGUAGCGGUGAAGUGCGCAGAGAUAUGGAGGAACACCAGUGGCGAAGGCGACUUUCUGGUCUGUAAAUGACGCUGAUGAGCGAAAGCGUGGGGAUCAAACAGG
rnacentral:rRNA from 1 species